GACAGAGGCCUCAAACGUUAGGCGGAAUCACUGGGCUUAAAGCGUGUGUAGGCGGACUUCUAAGUGCCUUGUGAAAUCCCACGGCUCAACCGUGGAACUGCUGGGCAUACUGGGAGUCUUGGGCCAUUCAGGGGCAACUGGAACAAGCGGUGGAGCGGUGAAAUGCGUAGAUAUCGCUUGGAACGCCGAAGGUGAAAACAGGUUGCUGGGGAUGUGCCGACGCUGAGACACGAAAGCCAGGGGAGCAAACGGG
rnacentral:rRNA from 1 species